rnacentral:rRNA from 1 species
GCGUGCUAAUCUGCGAUAAGCGCCGGUAAGGUGAUAUGAACCGUUAUAACCGGCGAUACCCGAAUGGGGAAACCCAGUGUGAUUCGUCACACUAUCAUUAACUGAAUCCAUAGGUUAAUGAGGCGAACCGGGGGAACUGAAACAUCUAAGUACCCCGAGGAAAAGAAAUCAACCGAGAUUCCCCCAGUAGCGGCGAGCGAACGGGGAGGAGCCCAGAGCCUGAAUCAGCAUGUGUGUUAGUGGAAGCGUCUGGAAAGGCGCGCGAUACAGGGUGACAGCCCCGUACACAAAAGCGCAUGUGCUGUGAGCUCGAUGAGUAGGGCGGGACACGUGGUAUCCUGUCUGAAUAUGGGGGGACCAUCCUCCAAGGCUAAAUACUCCUGACUGACCGAUAGUGAACCAGUACCGUGAGGGAAAGGCGAAAAGAACCCCGGCGAGGGGAGUGAAAAAGAACCUGAAACCGUGUACGUACAAGCAGUGGGAGCACAGGUUUACCUGUGUGACUGCGUACCUUUUGUAUAAUGGGUCAGCGACUUAUAUUCUGUAGCAAGGUUAACCGAAUAGGGGAGC